rnacentral:rRNA from 1 species
GAGUGUGUAACAACUCACCUGCCGAAGCAACUAGCCCUGAAANUGGAUGGCGCUAAAGCUCCGUGCCUAUACCCGGCCGCCGGAAGGCAUUGGCGCGAGGUGCUCCUUCUGGGGGCGCCGAGCGCGCGAAGCCCCGGCGAGUAGGAGGGCGCGGCGGUGUGCGCGGAAGGGUCUGGGCGUGAGCCUGCCUGGAGCCGCCGCCGGUGCAGAUCUUGGUGGUAGUAGCAAAUACUCAAGCGAGGGCCUUGAGGGCUGAUGUGGAGAAGGGUUUCGUGUGAACAGCCGUUGCACACGAGUCAGUCGAUCCUAAGCCCUAGGAGAAAUCCGAUGUCGAUGCGGGGGGCUGUACACCAGAGUUCCCCCUCGAUGGGCGAAAGGGAAUCCGGUUCCUAUUCCGGAACCCGGCAGCGGAACCGAAUCUACGGGCCCUCGUCAGAGAAGCUCGUCGGGGUAACCCAAAGGGACCCGGAGACGCCGUCGGGAGACCCGGGCAGAGUUUUCUGUUCUGCAUAAGCGUUCGAGUUCCCUGGAAUCCUCUAGCAGGGAGAUAGGGUUUGGAACGCGAAGAGCACCGCAGUUGCGGCGGUGUCCGGGUCGUCCCCUCGGACCUUGAAAAUCCGGGAGAGGGUCACGCGGAGGUGUCGCGCCGGCUCGUACCCAUAUCCGCAGCA